CUGAUGCAGCAACGCCGCGUGAGGUAUGAAGGCCUUUGGGUGUGUGAAGCCUCUGUCCUAGGGGAAGAAAAAAAUGACGGUACCCGAGGAGGAAGCCCCGGCUAACUACGUGCCAGCAGCCGCGGUAAUACGUAGGGGGCAAGCGUUAUCCGGAAUUAUUGGGCGUAAAGAGUGCGUAGGUGGUCUACUAAGCGCGAGGUGAAAGGCAAUGGCUCAACCAUUGUUAGCCUUGCGAACUGGCAGACUUGAGUGCAAGAGAGGAAAGCGGAAUUCCUAGUGUAGCGGUGAAAUGCGCAGAUAUUAGGAGGAACACCGGCGGCGAAGGCGGCUUUCUGGAUUGUAACUGACACUGAGGCACGAAAGCGUGGGUAGCAAACAGGAUUAGAUACCCUGGUAGUCCACGCCGUAAACGAUGAGCACUAGGUGUCGGGACAUGAGUCUCGGUGCCGCAGUUAACGCAAUAAGUGCUCCGCCUGGGGAGUACGCACGCAGUGUAAAACUCAAAGGAAUUGACGGGGACCGCACAAGCAGCGGAGCAUGU
rnacentral:rRNA from 1 species